GGUGUGAGCGGGGGAUGCAGGAGAGAGAGCUAGGAUUGCGGGCAGGGGCGCUUGGCGUGCUUCACCAAAAAAAGGUGGACGCCCACUCUACCAUCAUAUAGAGUAGUAGAGAUAUAGAUAUAGAUAUUGAUUUGGAUGACGCAGGUCCCGAUCUAUCCCUUACCCUCUUGUCGGUGUUUCCUCUGUUCCGAAUUCUCUUAUGUUUGUAUGUAUUUUUUCCGUCAUUCUUUUUGCAUUUAUCCUAGCCAACUUAACCUAGUUAUUGAAAAAAUUGUAUCAAGACUUACAAUACCAAAGUAAAUGUACUAUCCAAACAUAUUACAAUAGAGUACACUAGUAGUCCAUCAACCUGUGCUUCCGCAUGGGCUACUAUUUUGAAAGGCUAUUGUAUUUGAAAAUUAUUUAGAAGCUAGACUUUUAACUAGUUAGCAAAACAACUUACCUACUACUCUCUCAUUUUGAUUGUUUUUUAAUUAGUGACUACUCUAUACAUUUUUUUAUUCAUAUUCAUGCCUUUUCAUUUUGUAUCGCAUGCACCUCCCUACAUUAUGUUUAGCAUAAAAAUCAACGUUUUUCAUUACUUCCGCACGAACAUGUACAAAUGGUGUACACCCAUCAUGUGUAUAUACCUUAGCAUUUAUAUAUAUUAACAAUGAUAUAAAUAGUCAACUAUAUAUAUAUAUAUAUAUGUAUGUAUUUAGAGCCCUGGGCUCUCUUUAACUACAGGAAGCCCGACCACCUACCGCCCGGGCCGACCAACUAGGUGUGCAGACCGCACCAGACCGUUUUUGGUUUACUAUCCCCGACUGCUUACGCCAAAUUAACAUAUGAGUUACGAUGAUGUGUAUUGCCAUUUAUGCAAAUAUAGUUUGUGCACGAUUUAGCUUUCUGGGCCCACGAGAAGAUUAUGCUCCCACAAUCUGGGCAUCCAUACUAGUCCCCACGUGAACUUUUUUGAUGGCCCAUUUUACCCACACAUUUCUUUACCCUAACUGCUCCCAUCUUUAUCUCCCGAAGGCACGUAGUCGUUGCCAGUUUCUUCUUCCCCUAUCUUCAUCUUCCUAGCGGCGACUGCACGACUGUUGUUCCUAGCGCCGGUAGCGUUCCGCGGCGCGACAGCGAAAUCGACGAUCAUAGGAACACGCUCUACUUCGACUCUCCAGGCGACGCCAACCGCAUCGUCCCCUGUGAGGACGCCCCUCGCGUGCCAACCGCUGUGUCUGCGGCGACUUGGCCUCCCCUCCACUGACCAGAUCCACACCGCCAACGGGCUCACCGCCGUUUUUCAGCUCCAACUGCUUCGUAUGUCACCUGGAGGUAUAGAUCCAUGAUUCUAGUGAUUCGAUCUGUUGUUCAGAGUGGUUCAUCUGUGUCGUCUUCCCAUCUGGUCCCCAUAUGUGGCAUCAUCCGUCAAAACAUAGGCCUAGGGUUGAUUGUUCAAGAUUUGUUUUUAUUAGUAUUGCAUAGGAUCGUUAAUGUCCAGUGAUUUUGUAUCCAGCGAGUUUGCAGGAGUUCCUACUCUCAACAUAUAGGUUCCGUAGUGAAUUGUUAGCUAUCAUUUCCUCUACUAACAAAACUACAAAUGUUCACAAUAUAGGUUCUACCUAAAAUAAUGCAGAUAUUAAUUUUAUUAUUUGGUUGAUGAGGUCUGUUGCAACUAAUAUUUUUAUUCAUCUGGUUAAGUAUGUGACAAGAAAAAUAAAAUAUUACCUAACCUAGUUUACUUUUUCUGUUCUUAUUUAAUCAAUUCUCUAAAGUUAACAUCCACAUACUUUUACUGUUAAAUAGGGAUUAUUUUAUAUUGUCAUAAAUAACUUAUGAUGCAUCAUUGAUCUGCUAUUGUCAUGUUGACAUUUGUGUGCACUAUAUGUCCACAACUCCCUCAACAAGUAAGUAAUAUUACUGUGUGAUACAUGCAGUGAAGUUUUUGGGCUCCGUUGUAUGUUUAUGACACUACCUUACAAUUAUGUUCUCUGAUGCAAGCUCGAACUCACUCUAUUCAGCACUGAUGUGGGGUGUUCAACCUUUUGCUAGAUGGUCUCUAUACUCUGUCCCUGGCUCAUUUUCAUAUCCAUAUAUGUUUCCACGAGAGCCAUUUAUGAUCUGCAUCCGGCAGCACUAUGUUUUUUUAAAUGUCUCUGCUAUCUUCUGUUUGUUUACUUCUUCAUUGUGCUGAGUUGUUGAUUCACAUGUCGCUGAAUAAUUCAUAUAAAUCCUCCAGGUGUUCUUUUUGUUGUGUUGAUAACUGUGGCCUUUACUGAUUUAAUAAAGACUGCAGUAGGGAGACCAAGGCUAGACUUCUGGCGAUGCUUUCCUGAUGGAAAGCAGUUAUACGAUCAAGUGACUGGUGAUGUGAUUUGCCAUGGUGAGAAAAACUUCUUACAGGAUGGGCGCAAGAGCUUUCCUAAUGGCCAUACUUCGCAUAAGUUUGCAGUAAUAAGUGGUCAUAGACUCUAGCAUUUAGAUGGAUAAGCUUGUUGUACAAGUGUAGAGCUAAUAAUUGAGGUAUAAAAUAACGGCUCUAGAUUGUCAUAUGCAUUCAUUAGCAGUAGUGGCUUGGAUCUAAAUAUUUUACAGCUGGUGCACUGUGACGACUGAUAACAACAUAAAACCUGUGGUUGCAUGCAGGGAGUAGGGAAGCCAUUAUCGAUCUCUUCUUGAACUCAGCUGAGUAUUUGGACUGUGCAGUUCAUCAUGUACUCAUACAUAUACCACCUCAAAGACGCCUUAUUAAUUCUGUUUUAUUGCAUUAAUUCGGAGCACUGAACAUAGGAGUUCACCGUAGAAGUUAGUGAUAACACUGAUGAUGACUACAUACUCUUUUAUGAAGCCUUGCCAAAAGAAGAUGUCCUUCUCAUUGUUGAGUACAAGAAUAAUUAUCUCUUGUAUCUUAUUGUAAAAUCUGAAACAUCUGUUCUGUAGAUGGUUAGUUUGCAUUUUAUGCUAUAAUUACCUCAAAUCACGUGUUGCCUUUUUCACCAA